CAGCGUUACUCAGUGUGGUGGAUCUGCAGGAACAUCAUCCUGCAUUUGCUGUUUACUGACGAAAUGCUGUACACGAAUCCUGUAAUGAGAGGAUGGAUAUGAGGUUUGUCCAAAGAUUUCUCUUAUCAUCGCACUGCCAAGAUUUCCGAUACCACCUGUUAGAGUUCUCAGUCUCCUUGCGUUCAUCUAUUUGAGAAGUUGGGCAAGUUCUAAACCUGAGUGCUGGUCCCUUUAAAUGGCAUUUAUAACUUGAUAGUGCUGGUGGUGUUGGAGCGUUACAGACACCUGCCCUCCCCUCCCAUCGUACAAGUAAACUGCCCCCCAGGUACUUUUUAUAAUAGUCCUCUUAUCUCCGCUACACAUUUUGAACUCAACAAUCAUGGGCGGAUUUAGGGGUCAGGCCACCCCUAGACACAUUAGCCUCCGCCUACCCUCCCCCUCCAAAUCACGUCAUUGCCGCCUUCAUUUCAUGGGGGCUAGUCCAGAUACCUCUAGACCACCUAUGCAACCCCAGCCUCACCCUACUACCAAUUGCUGGACCACAAUUUGCUGCCUAUUGUCCCACCCCCAUCAUUUGCUAAAUAAAAUAUAGCAAAACUAAGGCCCCUAGGCAAAUGCCUCACGUGCCUAGUGGGAAAUCCGCCACUGUCAACAAUUAGCUGUAUCAUUUUCUAUAACAGUUUUAUUUGGAAUCUUAAAGAUUUUUGGAACAUACUUCAGGUCAUACAGAUUUUUUGUAUAGAAUUAUUGAAUUGUUGGAGACGGAACCUCUGGACUCCUACCAGAACCAGUCGUUGCGAUGAUGUUCUUUAAGAUGCUGGUGGAUGAAUAUACUGUAGUCCAGUGUACCCCAAAUUUUAUAAAUAGCUUUAAAGCCUCGAUAUGCUCUAAAUCCAGCUAAUGACUGUAUGUAAACAAAUGACUUCAUAGUUCACAGUGGUGUCCUCAGUGGACAUGGGGUUUGUGGUUCCUUAAUAGUUCCAUAAUCAGGACACACUUUGUUGGAAAUAAUUUAUAGGUAACCGGACACUGAUCCUAAUUGGCUGCUCUCCAACAACUCGGCUAUUCCGCAAAAUAAAUCUUCACCUCCAAUGGA